rnacentral:rRNA from 1 species
GACGAACCGUGCGAACGUUAUUCGGAAUCACUGGGCUUAAAGGGCGCGUAGGCGGGCGGACAAGUCGGGGGGUGAAAUCGUUCGGCCCAACCGGACAAGGGGCCCCCCGAUACUGGCCGUCUCGAGGGAGGUAGGGGUCGAUGGAACUUCCGGUGGAGCGGUGAAAUGCGCAGAUAUCAGGAGGAACACCGGUGGCGAAGGCGGAUCUCUGGGCCAUUACUGACGCUGAGGAGCGAAAGCGUGGGGAGCGAACAGG